GACGAACGCUGGCGGCGUGCCUAAUACAUGCAAGUCGAACGCAGUGGGGACGGGUGAGUAACACGUGGGUAACCUCCCAUCAGAGGGGAUAACACUUGGAAACAGGUGCUAAACCGAUACUGAUGGAUGGACCCGCGGUGCAUUAGCUAGUUGGUGAGGUAACGGCUCACCAAGGCCACGAUGCAUAGCCGACCUGAGAGGGGGAUCGGCCCCACUGGGACUUAGAAACGGCCCAAAAUCCUAAGGGAGGCAGCAGUAGGGAAUCUUCCGCAAUGGGCGAAAGUCUUACCCAGCAAAGCCGCGGGAAUGGAGAAGGUUUUCGGAUCGUAAAACUCUGUUGUUAGAGAAGCGGUAUCUAACCAGAAAGCCACGGCUAACUACGUGCCAUCAGCCGCGGUAAUUC
rnacentral:rRNA from 1 species